UGAGGUGGGCACGGCGCUCUGGGCUUGUCAGCAACCGCUCUGCUCCCGUCCAAUAGCCAGGGAUGGCAAACACAGGCAGAGGCACCACGGUCUUCCUCCUUGCGCCCCUGGCAGACAUCACUAAUCAAUCACAGCAACCUUUUUGCACAGAGCCUGGCUGCCACCUUCAUGGUCUCCACCUACAUCUCCAGGCUGAAGCCACACAGUUCCCGGAGCUUGGGCCCAGGAGGCAGUCGAAGGCACUGGGGUGUUGACCCCAAGUCCCAAGGCCACAAAGAAUCUGGUUGGUUUGCCGUCGGUCCUGAGGGCAGCCGCUGCCACUUCUGGGGAAAGUGUGGUGGGGGGGCCAGGGGUGAUGCUCUGUGCCCAGCACCUGUGCAGCAGCAGCACCUUGCAGGCACAUCUCCCAGUCCUGAUAGAGUCUGCACGCCCACCUCCCCGGCUCGGCCACUGGGCAAGCAGGAGGUGAGGAGUGGACGGCCCGCCCAGGGAGGGGCGGCCG
ensembl:lncRNA novel transcript